rnacentral:rRNA from 1 species
GACGAACGCUGGCGGCGUGCUUAACACAUGCAAGUCGAACGGAAAGGCCUGCUUUCCCUUGUGGAUUGCGGGUACUCGAGUGGCGAACGGUGAGUAACACGUGAGUGAUCUGCCCCCAACUUGGGUAUAAGCCUGGGAAACUGGGUCUAAUUCCCGAUAGGACUGCAGGGUGGUGCCUGUGGUGGAAAACGAUUUUCUAGUGGUUGGGGAUGAGCUCGCGGCCUAUCGGCUUGUUGGUGGGGUAAUGGCCUACCAAGGCGGCGACGGGUAGCCGGCCUGAGAGGGUGGACGGCCACAUUGGGACUGAGAUACGGCCCAGACUCCUACGGGAGGCAGCAGUGGGGAAUAUUGCACAAUGGGCGGAAGCCUGAUGCAGCGACGCCGCGUGGGGGAUGACGGCCUUCGGGUUGUAAACUCCUUUCGACCGCGAGGAAGCCACCUGGUUGGAAGGGUGGUGACGGUAGUGGUAGAAGAAGCACCGGCUAACUACGUG